AGUAACGUAUACAUGUGCCGUUGAACCAAACUCUGCAGUGCCUGGAGACUCUUCAAAGCAAGGAAGGUAUACACUGGAUGUACAAUACCCAGUGCGACAGGGGCCAACGGUGACAUCAUCCACUGGUACAUGGACAGUUGAACAGGGAACAACAUUUACUCUCAACUGUCAGGCAAGCGGCAAUCCAAGUCCAAGCUAUGUGUGGACCAGUCCAGAUAAUACCAACUCUACUGGCUCUCAGCUUAUACUGACACUGACUAAUACUGGAACCUUUUUGUAUACUUGCUUUGCCACCAAUAGUUUGACGACAUCACCAUUUCCAACACCUGUCAGAGUGACGGUACAAG